UACAGAGGGGGCAAGCGUUGUUCGGAAUUACUGGGCGUAAAGGGCGCGUAGGCGGCCUGCUAAGUCGAACGUGAAAUCCCCGGGCUCAACCCGGGAACUGCGUCCGAUACUGACAGGCUUGAAUCCGGGAGAGGGAUGUGGAAUUCCAGGUGUAGCGGUGAAAUGCGUAGAUAUCUGGAGGAACACCGGUGGCGAAGGCAGCUCGCUGGGACGUUACUGACACUGAGGCGCGAAAGCGUGGGGAGCGAACAGG
rnacentral:rRNA from 1 species